AAAAAUUUAGUUAAUUUAUAACAUCAGCUUGUCAAGCUGAAAUUAAUAUUAUUAUUAAUUUUUA
rnacentral:tRNA from 1 species